CUCAGUUCGGAUCGGAGUCUGNAACCCGACUCCGUGAAGCUGGAUUCGCUAGUAAUCGCGCAUCAGCCAUGGCGCGGUGAAUACGUUCCCGGGCCUUGUACACACCGCCCGUCAAGCCAUGGGAGCCGGGGGUGCUUGAAGUGCGUCGCCGCAAGGCGCGCCCUAGAGCAAAACCGGUGACUGGGGCUAAGUCGUAACAAGGUAAC
rnacentral:rRNA from 1 species